UUUCAGCGGUAUAGUUUUAUACUUUUGCGACAUUUCGAAGUUUCUUGUUUUUGAUAUUGUAUCGUUCCCGGAGGAUAGUUUGGUAUAUAAAGCGUUAUGACGUUAAAUUUCUACUUUCAUUUCGAAACAAUAACUGUUGGAUAACUUGUUACUUUUAAUGUUAUCUACAACAUCAUAAAACCAUAAUAAUAAUCAUUUAACAAUAUUUGCGCACGUAAUGUGACGUAGUAAAUUAAAA
rnacentral:misc_RNA from 1 species